AUUGAACGCUGGCGGCAGGCCUAACACAUGCAAGUCGAGCGGCAGCGGGAAAGUAGCUUGCUACUUUUGCCGGCGAGCGGCGGACGGGUGAGUAAUGCCUGGGAAAUUGCCCAGUCGAGGGGGAUAACAGUUGGAAACGACUGCUAAUACCGCAUACGCCCUACGGGGGAAAGCAGGGGACCUUCGGGCCUUGCGCGAUUGGAUAUGCCCAGGUGGGAUUAACUAGUUGGUGAGGUAAUGGCUCACCAAGGCGACGAUCCCUAGCUGGUCUGAGAGGAUGAUCAGCCACACUGGAACUGAGACACGGUCCAGACUCCUACGGGAGGCAGCAGUGGGGAAUAUUGCACAAUGGGGGAGACCCUGAUGCAGCCAUGCCGCGUGUGUGAAGAAGGCCUUCGGGUUGUAAAGCACUUUCAGCGAGGAGGAAAGGUUGAUGCCUAAUACGUAUCAACUGUGACGUUACUCGCAGAAGAAGCACCGGCUAACUCCGUGCCAGCAGCCGCGGUAAUAC
rnacentral:rRNA from 1 species